rnacentral:rRNA from 1 species
GAUGAACGCUGGCGGCGUGCUUAACACAUGCAAGUCGAACGAUGAAGCCCAGCUUGCCGGGUGGAUUAGUGGCGAACGGGUGAGUAACACGUGAGUAACCUGCCCUUAACUCUGGGAUAAGCCUGGGAAACUGGGUCUAAUACCGGAUAGGAGCGUCCACCGCAUGGUGGGUGUUGGAAAGAUUUAUCGGUUUUGGAUGGACUCGCGGCCUAUCAGCUUGUUGGUGAGGUAAUAGCUCACCAAGGCGACGACGGGUAGCCGGCCUGAGAGGGUGACCGGCCACACUGGGACUGAGACACGGCCCAGACUCCUACGGGAGGCAGCAGUGGGGAAUAUUGCACAAUGGGCGCAAGCCUGAUGCAGCGACGCCGCGUGAGGGAUGACGGCCUUCGGGUUGUAAACCUCUUUCAGUAGGGAAGAAGCGAAAGUGACGGUACCUGCAGAAGAAGCACCGGCUAACUACGUG